GAAUUCGCCCUUAGAGUUUGAUUCUGGCUCAGGAUGAACGCUGGCGGCGUGCCUAACACAUGCAAGUCGAGCGAGAACCGAAAAGACAGAAGCUUCGGCCGAAGGAUUUUUGGGGAAAGCGGCGGACGGGUGAGUAACGCGUAGGUAACCUGCCCUAUACACGGGGAUAGCCACUGGAAACGGUGAUUAAUACCCGAUAGUCUCUUGUAACGCAUGUUAUGAGAGGGAAAGAUUUAUCGGUAUGGGAUGGACCUGCGUCUGAUUAGCUAGUUGGUGGGGUAAUGGCCUACCAAGGCAACGAUCAGUAGCCGACCUUAGAGGGUGAUCGGCCACACUGGGACUGAGAACGGCCCAGACUCCUACGGGAGGCAGCAGUGGGGAAUAUUGCACAAUGGAGGGAACUCUGAUGCAGCAACGCCGCGUGAGUGAUGAAAUAUUUCGAUAUGUAAAGCUCUGUUCUAGGGGAAGAAAAUGACGGUACCCUAGCAGCAAGCCCCGGCUAACUACGUGCCAGCAGCCGCGGUAAUACGUAGGGGGCAAGCGUUAUCCGGAAUUAUUGGGCGUAAAGCGUACGCAGGCGGCCAAAAAGGUCAGAGGUGAAAGACAGGGGCUCAACCCCUGCGAGCCUUUGAAACCAUUUGGCUUGAGCAUAGGAGGGGAAAGUGGAAUUUCUAGUGUAGCGGUGAAAUGCGUAGAUAUUAGAAGGAACACCGGUGGCGAAGGCGACUUUCUGGACUAUGUCUGACGCUGAGGUACGAAAGCGUGGGUAGCGAACAGGAUUAGAUACCCUGGUAGUCCACG
rnacentral:rRNA from 1 species